UUUUCUCUUAUACAGUUGAUUUGCUGAAAAUUUAAAGUGUAUAUAAAAUAAAAUUUUGAGAACAUCAUGCGUGCUAGUGUAGCGCAUGGAAAAAUUGGGUCGAUGUGCGAAAGAUGGCGGCUACUGCGUGGUGUGCGUGAAAAAGAUUCGUGCGUAGAUUUUGUCUGUAGUUUUUAUCAAAACAUGACAAAAUAUGGAAAAAUCUAUUUACAUGUGCACAAGGCUAUUAUAGGUGGAAGAUUCGUAAUGUUGAUGAAUAUUCAGAUUCUAUGUUUCCCAUCCGUGUAAAAAUCGUUUGUUUACGAUAAAGUUUGUAUAAUACUUCAACGUGAAGUGAAGUGUUGCAAGGGAAAAAGAGACCCUAACAUAGACGAGAUUGGAGAUCAAGUGUAGCCGGACUUCGGCCCGGUAAGAAGAUCAGUAGAGAUGCUGAAGCAAUUGCAGAUGGGGAUGAGAGCUUUUCUCUUGAUGGCCUCCCGAGUGUGGACAUGCGUCUUCUUUCUUCUCAAGAAGCAGGUUAGAGCCAUAUCACAAAUGCAACCUGUUAAAUAUGAAAUCUUCCCAUUAUCUCCAUUAUCAAGGCACAGACUUAGUAUAGUUAAAAGGAAAGUAUUAGUAUUGGAUUUAGAUGAAACAUUAAUUCAUUCUCAUCAUGAUGGAGUGGCAAGGCCAACAGUUAGAUUUGGUACACCACCAGAUUUUAUUCUUAAAGUGAAGAUAGACAGACAUCCUGUCAGAUUUUUUGUCCAUAAAAGACCACAUGUAGAUUUCUUUUUAGAUAUUGUUAGUCAAUGGUAUGAAUUAGUGGUUUUCACUGCUUCCAUGGAAAUCUAUGGUGCAGCUGUUGCAGAAAAGUUAGAUAAUAACAGGGGUAUAUUAAGAAGAAGAUAUUAUAGACAACAUUGUACACCAGAAAUGGGUUCCUAUACUAAAGAUUUAUCUGCAAUUUGUUCAGAUUUAGCAUCAGUCUUUAUACUUGAUAAUAGUCCUGGAGCCUACAGAGCCUAUCCUCCUAUCAGCGUUGAUGUUCUGUAAGCAAGCACUGAAUACAGGCCUAUGGAUAGAUGUAAAAUAUGCUCAAUUGCCAAUGCUCCUCCACUUGAAUAAGCACUGGACACUACGCCGAAUUGGCAAUGAUAUUCAACUAAUUUCAACUGUUUUAAUCAUUUUUUUUAAUAAUUCCUGUGUAUCAGAUAACGCAAUACCAAUAAAGUCUUGGUUUAGCGAUGCGGGAGAUACUGCUUUGUUGAGUUUACUUCCUGUUUUGGAUGCCCUUCGUUUUACACAAGAUGUACGGUCCGUUCUUUCAAGGAAUUUACAUUUACAUCAUACUUGGUAGCAUAGUUUGGAUUAAGUAAUAAACUAGAUUUAUUAGAGAUCGAGCUGCAAAACGUUUAGCGUGUUUAAUCUAGGGUUAUUGUUAUUGGUAAUAGAUAUAGGAUGCUGACUAAAUGAUGAGACGAUGAUCCCUGACCCCCUGUCCUCAUUUUCUACGCUCGUUAGAAAAUAAAAACGUAGCGAGUAAGUCUGAAAGGGAAUGGGACCUUUAACCAAACUAUUUACAUUAGCACAAAAUGUCCUGAUAUUUUCGUUAUGUUCAUGUGUGCGCAAUAAUAUAUAUAUAUAUACGUAUGCGUACACAAUACAUAUACAUACACAAAUCGAGAGAGAGAGAGAAAGUGGGCUUUCUUAAAAAAAGAAAAAAUGUAUUUGCCAAAGAUUGAGAUUUUAAAUUAAUAUAGAUUUAUACGUAUAUUUCACUUGAAAUAAUUUUGUUCUAAGUGAAAAUAUUAUACAAAACGUUUUAAGUAUUUUGCCACACAUGAUAAAAAAAGUGUUAUAUUUUUUAAACGAAUUAUUUCUGUUAUAUAUAAUAUUAUUAAACAUAAAGUAUAGUAUAAAAAAAAAAAAAAAACUAAAAAAAAUACUAAGUCACAGUUUAAACGGACUUUGCUGUAACUCACUGUAUCAGUGAGGCAGCUAUCCUAAAUAUAUCUAAUAAUAAAAAAAAGUAUUAAUGAACUAUAAAGAAGGGAUAUUUGAUUUCAAUAAAUUUUUCGAAAAAUGGAAAUUGUUUAAUGUUAUGUACGAUGUUAUACAUCAGAAAGAAAUACGAAUGAAGUAACAGUAAAUAGAUUGUGCAUAUACCUGUAUACUUUAUUUGUUUAUUUCAUCAUUCAAAAAUACUAUUGAAAAUUAUUAUGGUUUAUACAAUGAUGGGAAAUGUAUUUGUUGCAGAAUGAUGAUUGAGUGAAUGAACAAUGUAAUCAAGCGAUUAAACGUUUUACAUAGCAUUUAUACAUGUAUAUUAUGUAUGUACAUGUAUAAAUGUUAGUUUUACUUAAUUAUAAAAAUUCAAUUUAAAAAAAUAUGCCCAUGUGCAAAAGAAUGAAAUAAUAAUACUUUGUUCUCAAAUAAAUUAUAAAUAAUUGAGAACAUUUGUUUAUUUAUUGACAUAUAUCAAACAAGUUGCUCACAUGGAUUUAUAUUAUUAAUAGUAAUUUAUUCCAAAGUAAGAAGAGCCAUGGGUAAUAGAUAUAGGAUAAGGCAGGAUUAUAUUACACUCAAUAAAAAUAAUGUCUUUCUGUACAUAGUAAACCUAUAUGUACAUGUAUGGAUGUUCUGUUAUCACAUACAUGCAACUAUAUGUAUAUGUUAAGAAAAAAUAUUAAUUUUUUAAUUUCAAAUAUACAUUGCAAAAUAAUUUGUAUAAACAUAGUCCAUAAUUAAAUAUGGUUCUAUGUAUCGCGAUUGUCUUUUUAAAUUCAAAUAUGGAUUAAAAUGUACAUAUUUAGUUUAUAAA